AGAGAGAGAGCGCCGCGUACGCCAUCCCGCCCGCAAGCCCGUUAGGAUUUCUGCGGCGUCCUUUUUUUCUUAUCUCUAUGGUUCUUCCCGGACCGAGAAAGUGCGGGACUCGACCACGUGACCUCCCGCGGCCGGAGUCUCUUCCUCGAAGUUGGCGCCGCCCUCGCCGUGGAAUAGAGGCGGAGCCGAGGAAGCCUCGAAGCGUAGAAUGAAUGGCAGAGCUGGAAGGGAGGGACCCCGAGGGGUCAUCUAGUCCAACCCCCUGCAAUGCAGGAAUCUCAGCUAGAUCAUAGGAUCGUAGAUGCAGACGAGGAGGAGAAUGGCAAAGAGAACUUGCGCAGGACAGGCUGGUAAUACACGCAACUUGCGCAACUUUGAAGCCUCCUCAUUUGCUGCCGCAGUAAGAGCACAAGGCCAUCUCACGUGAGGCUUUCCGCGUGCGUAUUGUUUGUUUCUCGUUUAUUUCAUGCAGUUGACACUGAGGGGUCUCUGCUACAACUUAUACCGCCCCAUAAAUCUUUUUCAUCUUCUAUAUGUUUCAUACCCCUCUUAAUUUCUCACUGCGG
rnacentral:lncRNA from 1 species